GUCGGCAUAAACCACGUGGUUUAAACUUCGUGAUCAAAUUGGUUCAGGUGGCUUCUCACAUGCCUCCUGAAUUGCCUCCUACACGAAUAAUUGCUACAAAAUAACAGGAGGAAAUGUAAAUUUACUAACUAUUCUCUAGGUAUGUUCACCUGCCAUAUACAAUGACAUUCUAACGCAAAUAUGUUUGUCUCCCAGUACGCCAAUGUAUGUAGAUUCUUCACAGGAGUACAUUUAUUCAGGUCAGUUGGGCAGGUCAUGUAAGGCGCAGGUUAGACAGCCGUUGGACCAUUAGGGUUACAGAAUGGAUACCAAGAGAAGGGAAACGCAAUCGAGGACGAUAGAAGACUAGGUGGAGCGAUAAAAUUAGGAAAUUCGCGGGCGCUAGUUCGAAUUGGUUGGCGCAGCACACGGGUAAUUGUAAAUCGCCUUCGUCCUCUACUGGAUAUAAAAUUGGCUGAUGAUGAUGACUCACAGGUGACCCUGACUAUGGAAAGGAAACUUACACAAAAAUAAAAGCCGGUUUCAGUGCAUACGGCAGAUAUUUACAAAUCCUGUAUGAGAGCGCAUCACUGUCGUUGAAAACGAAAGUGUACUACUAUUUCUUUUACCAAUGCUAACAUAUGGGGCAGAUACAUGGAAGUAAACAAAGAAGCUGGAGAACAGGUUGAAGAUCGCUCAAAGUGCGAUAGAAUGAAAUAUGCUAGGCGUAACGCUAGGAGACAGAAAGAGCGCAGUGUGCAUCAGAGAGCAACAAGGUAUAGCCGAUAUUUUAUUUGACAUUAAGAGAAAAUAAUGGCCUUGCGCCGGCCAUGUAAUGCGUCGGGUAUAUAGCGCGAGACAGUGGUAAAUGGAGAACGCGUUUGACCGGCAGUGGACAUAGGAAUUCGAUGAUGCUGGAGAUGAUGAUGCUAAUGCCACGUGUGAUGGUAACACCAAAAAGAAGAAUACGUUUUCUCUGCAAAAAUGAGCCUUUCUUUUCGUGCUUGAAAAGAACAUUGGACUAAGGUUGUCUGCACCUGAGCCCGGGCCGCGUUAAACCUUGCCGGACGUACAAGAAAGUUGUAUCCCUCCAUCCGUCUGCACAGCUCACCACUUCGUGUAGGUUCUGCGUGUUUCCACAUUGACCGCCAAAUUUCUAAACACGACUUCAGGCAACGUUUCUCUUCUACUAAGCCAAGACGAGGCGAUGGGCCGUCUUUCACUCAAGGCGCCGUUCCGUUUCAAGAGCAGUACUCCACGUUUUCACCGCCGAAGAUCGCCUUUAAAUUGUGCUCUCUACUCGACUGAAGUGCACCAACCGAAAAGUGCGUUUGUUAUGGAGGCUGUUCUUAAAUAUGCUUAGCAAAACGCCAAUUCUUUAAGACAAAUGCGUGUUUCGGUUAAUUUGUCUUGCUAAUCAAACGGCUAGAUCAGCUAACCAACGGGCACUUUAGCUCGGCAACGCUGUCACUGUGCACGUCCGACUGAUAAAUCAAGCGGGAGUUGUGUCUGAGGUCUGGCAACAAUUGGACUCCAGCUGAGAGCAUAACGCAUGGCUAAGAAAUAAGAACAGUUUCGCCGACACUAGUCUGCUGCUCUUUCUUUUCAUGUGCUCCACUGGUAGUUCAUGUUGCUGUUGAUAAUCGUGGUUGUUAUGGGCGAUUUUGUCCGUGUGUGUAUUGCGACCGAGUCGGAUCGACUUCGAAGGAAGCAGCAGAUGGAACAGCGAAUGGCUAGCUUUGUUUGCACUCAAGGCCGAGUGCCGCUGAAUGUUUGAUGAAGGCAACAACAGGACAUGAAAUAUGGGAUGUGUGCUUUGGAAGGACCAGUUGAAGAAAAAAAAUCUACGUCUGUGCUACACACUGAGGCUUGUGGCAGACCUUGAAAGCAUCGAUAGAUACGGUGCCUACCUGUUCGAAUUGCACCAGCAGGGUUCCCUCAAAGAACCUAGGUUCUGACGUACUUGACUAACCUACCGGGCUCUUCAUACUUUUGAGAAAGUUUGGGUCCGUUAUCGGAGUUACGACAGACGAACUUUGGGCCACCAACACACAUGCCUGUAUAAUGAAGUACGCUACCAGGGACACCAAUCUUAUUUAUUCGCCCAGCAUUACGAGGUUGACUGGAAGUGGAAAAGUGAGCAGAUCUAUGCAAGAUUAUUUCAAGGCAGAGGCGGCAAAGCAAUCAUGCGACUGAGCCAGAGACCAGGAGGUUAUGGCGUUGAUCACACCCUAGUUUUUUGGAAUCACAUAGAGCACUGUUUUGUGUUCAACCGAACAUUCGAAGGCCAGCCACAGUGCGAGAUGUGGGUCUGGGGUGACCACGUUCGGAAACACGUGCCUCAGUGUCAGCUAGCAUACAAGCGCCAUUGCAACACACAAUACCCUGUUUACACACAUCGUUGUGGACCACCUUGAAGAAAAAAAAAAUACGAUUACGGUUUUUGGAUAUAGAGGUGCCGAGUUGAACUUAAUAUCUGAUGAAUGUAAAAUCGCAUUGUGUAAGAUGAUAUUAAAAAGUAUAUUGGCUUUACA